AGAGUCACGAUCACAAUCAAGAAAGAUGUCAUGGACAUUGAUGAAAUUCUUGGAGGUUUCUCCCUUUGUCCACAAAGACGAACGUGACCGACUGUAAAAUGUUGCCUUUCGACAGGAAAUGGUUGUAGCUAAUGCAUCCCUGUUCACAAAGCCUUGCAUUAAUAUGGCUCCUGUGUCAAUAUUUUGAGCUAUAGCCACUGCCAAACCUUUGUCGUCCCAUUUUACACUGUCUAACAAUGUCUCAACCUAAAAUUUAGACAGUUAGCUAGUUUGCUCCUGCUUAAAAUUAUACGGAAAUCAAAUAACAGAAGGAUAUGAGCAAAUAGGAUUUGAAAUAAAUGCAUGUGCAGUGGCAUGUAUUUUUUUGCUCCCCAUCAUAUACAAAACUAACAUGAGGGCCACAUUAGCAUUACAGUAUAUGAUCGCAUUAUUUAUAAAUGUUGAAACUCUUGACAAAGAAAUCACCAAGAACAGCAAGAAGCUAAUUUGCAUAACAUGAGAAUUGCAUUCAUAAACAUUUAAACUAGCCAGCUAAGCCAAGAUGGCAAAAAACAAGCAGGCUUGAACAGUAUUGAGCCUUUCUUUUAAAAAACAUAAACAAAGUUAUUCCGUGGUGAAAGAUCAAACUGGACCAUCAAUGAAAUGUUUAGAGCUAAAAGUAACACAAAGGCCUUCUCCCUCUAUAAUGAUGUAAUACAGAUUACAGAACUAUAAUUGAGGAUGCAAACCAGAUACAGAAGCAUAUUGUAAUAUGCUAUUCAGCCUUCUGCAGUGCAAGUUAUUUUCAAAACCAUAUUAUAUUUGUGAUUCCAUAGCAUUAAAAAACUUAAUUAUGUGUUUCUACCAUCUUAUAAAAAGGGGGAACAGGUGGCGGGAAAUGUGAAGUCCAGAUGUAGCUCAAAUAAUAAUUAACAGCAUAUUAUUGGGCAACGAUGGAUACCUUCAAGAGAUGGUCAACAAAAGAUGGGAAACCCAUCCAUCAUAUUUCCUUCCCUUUCUUUGAUUUUCCAGACAAGUAACAAUCUCUACCAUAAUAAACACGGUAGACUUCUGACUGUCUGGUUGAUCAUGGUCAUUCAAUUCAAGUGAAGGAAAUAUUAAAAACUUCAACAAGCAAAAGCAUGAUCUUGUAAAGCACAGUGCAAAAGUCUUGCCAUACUAAGCAAAAGUACCAGUGUACAUUUAGGAAAUUACCCUUUCUUUUUACAAGGGAGCAAAAACCAUUUUGGUAGAGAAAUCGCGAUUGGUUUAAAACUUGGCCUACCCAUUAAUAACUUUUAUCUAAAUGCAAAACACACAUGUGAACCAGUGAAUGUUUGCAGUGGCCAUAUGAGAGAUAUGUAGAGUCCAGAUGUAGCUCAAUGAUAAUUGAAAACAUAUUAUUGAGCAACGAUGGACACCCGUAAGAAAUGGUAAAUAGAAAGAUGGGAAACCCAUCCAUCAAAUUUCCUUCCCUCUCUUUGAUUUUCCAGACAUGUAACAAUCCCUACCAAAACAACACACAGUAGGCAUCUGACUAUGUCUGGAUACCACAAUACAGCAAUAAACACAAAUGCAUAGAGAUUAAAGCUAAGGCUUUAUCAAACAGAAAGAUGGGUAAAUUAAGUACCUUGGAUUCGACACACAGAUCUCUAUCAGAAUUCUUCGCAGAAGCAAAAACCAAACGACAGUUCAUGCUCUUCCAGGCAUUGGCUCGGCUGCAAUCACCAACAGGGAAGAAGGCACGUCCUCUUGAUGAAAACCCAAGAGAUUGAAUGCAGCGCAAGGAUGAAACCGCCAUUAAAAGUACAAAAAGCUAUGCUCUUUCUUUGCUCAAAUCAAGCUCAUCCUGCAACUCUGGUUUAGGAUAGGGCUUC
rnacentral:misc_RNA from 1 species